rnacentral:rRNA from 1 species
CCUACGGGGGGCAGCAGUGGGGAAUAUUGCGCAAUGGGCGAAAGCCUGACGCAGCGACGCCGCGUGAGGGAUGAAGGUCUUCGGAUCGUAAACCUCUGUCAGCAGGGAAGAACGGUCACUGUGCUAAUCAGCAGUGAAUUGACGGUACCUGCAAAGGAAGCACCGGCUAACUCCGUGCCAGCAGCCGCGGUAAUACGGAGGGUGCGAGCGUUAAUCGGAAUUACUGGGCGUAAAGCGCUCGUAGGCGGUAGUUCAAGUUAAGGGGGAAAUCCCCGCGCUCAACGUGGGAACUGCCUUUGAAACUGGCAAACUGGAGUGUGUGAGAGGAUAGUGGAAUUCCAGGUGUAGGAGUGAAAUCCGUAGAUAUCUGGAGGAACAUCGGUGGCGAAGGCGACUAUCUGGCACAUAACUGACGCUGAGGAGCGAAAGCGUGGGUAGCAAACAGGAUUAGAUACCCUAGUAGUC